AUUAUUUUGGCAGAAAUUUUAUGCAGUAAAUUUAGAAUUUAUUAAUAUAUACGGUGUAUAUAAAUAAUA
rnacentral:tRNA from 1 species